GAUGAACGCUGGCGGCGUGCCUAAUACAUGCAAGUCGAGCGAACGGACGAGAAGCUUGCUUCUCUGAUGUUAGCGGCGGACGGGUGAGUAACACGUGGAUAACCUACCUAUAAGACUGGGAUAACUUCGGGAAACCGGAGCUAAUACCGGAUAAUAUUUUGAACCGCAUGGUUCAAAAGUGAAAGACGGUCUUGCUGUCACUUAUAGAUGGAUCCGCGCUGCAUUAGCUAGUUGGUAAGGUAACGGCUUACCAAGGCAACGAUGCAUAGCCGACCUGAGAGGGUGAUCGGCCACACUGGAACUGAGACACGGUCCAGACUCCUACGGGAGGCAGCAGUAGGGAAUCUUCCGCAAUGGGCGAAAGCCUGACGGAGCAACGCCGCGUGAGUGAUGAAGGUCUUCGGAUCGUAAAACUCUGUUAUUAGGGAAGAACAUAUGUGUAAGUAACUGUGCACAUCUUGACGGUACCUAAUCAGAAAGCCACGGCUAACUACGUGCCAGCAGCCGCGGUAAUACGUAGGUGGCAAGCGUUAUCCGGAAUUAUUGGGCGUAAAGCGCGCGUAGGCGGUUUUUUAAGUCUGAUGUGAAAGCCCACGGCUCAACCGUGGAGGGUCAUUGGAAACUGGAAAACUUGAGUGCAGAAGAGGAAAGUGGAAUUCCAUGUGUAGCGGUGAAAUGCGCAGAGAUAUGGAGGAACACCAGUGGCGAAGGCGACUUUCUGGUCUGUAACUGACGCUGAUGUGCGAAAGCGUGGGGAUCAAACAGGAUUAGAUACCCUGGUAGUCCACGCCGUAAACGAUGAGUGCUAAGUGUUAGGGGGUUUCCGCCCCUUAGUGCUGCAGCUAACGCAUUAAGCACUCCGCCUGGGGAGUACGACCGCAAGGUUGAAACUCAAAGGAAUUGACGGGGACCCGCACAAGCGGUGGAGCAUGUGGUUUAAUUCGAAGCAACGCGAAGAACCUUACCAAAUCUUGACAUCCUUUGACAACUCUAGAGAUAGAGCUUUCCCCUUCGGGGGACAAAGUGACAGGUGGUGCAUGGUUGUCGUCAGCUCGUGUCGUGAGAUGUUGGGUUAAGUCCCGCAACGAGCGCAACCCUUAAGCUUAGUUGCCAUCAUUAAGUUGGGCACUCUAAGUUGACUGCCGGUGACAAACCGGAGGAAGGUGGGGAUGACGUCAAAUCAUCAUGCCCCUUAUGAUUUGGGCUACACACGUGCUACAAUGGACAAUACAAAGGGCAGCGAAACCGUGAGGUCAAGCAAAUCCCAUAAAUUUGUUCUCAGUUCGGAUUGUAGUCUGCAACUCGACUACAUGAAGCUGGAAUCGCUAGUAAUCGUAGAUCAGCAUGCUACGGUGAAUACGUUCCCGGGUCU
rnacentral:rRNA from 1 species